GAUGAACGCUGGCGGCGUGCCUAAUACAUGCAAGUCGAGCGAAUGGAUUAAGAGCUUGCUCUUAUGAAGUUAGCGGCGGACGGGUGAGUAACACGUGGGUAACCUGCCCAUAAGACUGGGAUAAAUCCGGGAAACCGGGGCUAAUACCGGAUAACAUUUUGAACCGCGUGGUUCGAAAUGGAAAGGCGGCUUCGGCUGUCACUUAUGCAUGGACCCGCGUCGCAUUAGCUAGUUGGUGAGGUAACGGCUCACCAAGUCAACGAUGCGUAGCCGACCUGAGAGGGUGAUCGGCCACACUGGGACUGAGACACGGCCCAGACUCCUACGGGAGGCAGCAGUAGGGAAUCUUCCGCAAUGGACGAAAGUCUGACGGAGCAACGCCGCGUGAGUGAUGAAGGCUUUCGGGUCGUAAAACUCUGUUGUUAGGGAAGAACAAGUGCUAGUUGAAUAAGCUGGCACCUUGACGGUACCUAACCAGAAAGCCACGGCUAACUACGUGCCAGCCGCCGCAGUAA
rnacentral:rRNA from 1 species